rnacentral:rRNA from 1 species
AGUGAACGCUGGCGGUAGGCCUAACACAUGCAAGUCGAACGGCAGCACAGUAAGAGCUUGCUCUUACGGGUGGCGAGUGGCGGACGGGUGAGGAAUACAUCGUAAUCUACUUUUUCGUGGGGGAUAACGUAGGGAAACUUACGCUAAUACCGCAUACGACCUACGGGUGAAAGCAGUGGAUCUUCGGACCUUGCGCGAUUGAAUGAGCCGAUGUCGGAUUAGCUAGUUGGCUGGGUAAAGGCCCACCAAGGCGACGAUCCGUAGCUGGUGUGAGAGGAUGAUCAGCCACACUGGAACUGAGACACGGUCCAGACUACUAAGGGAGGCACCAGUGGGGAAUAGUGGACAAUGGGCGCAAGCCUGAUCCAGCCAUCCCGCGUGGGUGAAGAAGGCCUUCGGGUUGUAAAGCCGUUUUGUUGGGAAAGAAAAGCAGCAGGUUAAUACCACGCUGUUCUGACGGUACCCAAAGAAUAAGCACCGGCUAACUUCGUG